CACGUAGGCACCAAGCGUUGUCCGGAUUUAUUGGGCGUAAAGAGCGUGUAGGCGGCCAUACAGGUCCGUUGUGAAAACUGGAGGCUUAACCUCCAGACGUCGAUGGAAACCGUAUGGCUAGAGUCCGGAAGAGGAGAGUGGAAUUCCUGGUGUAGCGGUGAAAUGCGCAGAUAUCAGGAAGAACACCGGUGGCGAAGGCGGGUCUCUGGGCCGAUACUGACGCUGAGGAGCGAAAGCGUGGGGAGCGAACAGG
rnacentral:rRNA from 1 species